GGAAGGGCUGUAGCUCAGUGGUGGAGCAUCUGCUUUGUAUGCAGAAGCUCGCAGGCUCAAAUCCCGGCACCUCCA